rnacentral:rRNA from 1 species
GAUGAACGCUAGCGGCAGGCUUAACACAUGCAAGUCGAGGGGUAUAGUUCUUCGGAACUAGAGACCGGCGCACGGGUGCGUAACGCGUAUGCAAUCUACCUUUUACAGGGGGAUAGCCCAGAGAAAUUUGGAUUAAUACCCCAUAGUAUGUUAGAGUGGCAUCAUUUUAACAUUAAAGUUCCAACGGUAAAAGAUGAGCAUGCGUCCCAUUAGCUAGAUGGUAAGGUAACGGCUUACCAUGGCGACGAUGGGUAGGGGUCCUGAGAGGGAGAUCCCCCACACUGGUGCUGAGACACGGACCAGACUCCUACGGGAGGCAGCAGUGAGGAAUAUUGGACAAUGGGCGCAAGCCUGAUCCAACCGUGCCGCGUGCAGGAAGACGGUCCUAUGGAUUGUAAACUGCUUUUGUACAGGAAGAAACACUCCCUCGUGAGGGAGCUUGACGGUACUGUAAGAAUAAGGAUCGGCUAACUCCGUGCCAGCCGCCGCCGUAACAC